UCGGGAAUUUUGGGCAAUGGGCGAAAGCCUGACCCAGCAACGCCGCGUGAGGGAUGAAGUAUUUCGGUAUGUAAACCUCGAAAGAAUGGGAAGAAUAAAUGACGGUACCAUUUAUAAGCUCCGGCUAACUACGUGCCAGCAGCCGCGGUAAUACGUAGGGAGCAAGCGUUGUUCGGAUUUACUGGGCGUAAAGGGCGCGUAGGCGGCGCGGUAAGUCACUUGUGAAAUCUCUGAGCUUAACUCAGAACGGCCAAGUGAUACUGCUGUGCUAGAGUGCGGAAGAGGCAACCGGAAUUCUUGGUGUAGCGGUGAAAUGCGUAGAUAUCAAGAGGAACACCUGAGGCGAAGUCGGGUUGCUGGGCCGACACUGACGCUGAUGCGCGAAAGCCAGGGGAGCAAACG
rnacentral:rRNA from 1 species